rnacentral:rRNA from 1 species
UACGGGGGGAGCAAGCGUUGUUCGGAAUCACUGGGCGUAAAGGGAGUCUAGGCGGUUUGGUAAGUGGGAUGUGAAAUGCCCGGGCUCACCCCGGGACCUGCAUCCCAAACUGCUGAGCUUGAGUACAGGAGAGGGUGGGGGAAUUCCAGGUGUAGCGGUGAAAUGCGUAGAUAUCUGGAGGAACACCGGUGGCGAAGGCGGCAUCCUGGACCGAUAUUGACGCUGAGGAGCGAAAGCCAGGGGAGCAAACGGG